rnacentral:siRNA from 1 species
AGCGAAAAAAUGGUACCCAUGCGAU